GAGGGCUCGGGUCCAGGGCCUCAGGUGGGGGCUGGCCUGGGCGCUCAGGGAACGAGCCUGCUGGAAUCGCCCUGCCUUCCCUACCAAGGGUCUGAGGACACAGGCCUGUCUGUAUCCCUGCCAUGGGGGCCCUGGGGACCCUCGUUUUGGCAUUGGCUGCAGGCCUGAGCACUGCUAGCCCACCUAACAUCAUGCUGAUCUUUGCUGAUGACCUGGGCUAUGGGGACCUCGGCUCCUAUGGGCACCCCAGUUCUACCACCCCCAACUUGGAUCAGUUGGCUGCAGGGGGACUACGGUUCACAGAUUUCUAUGUGCCUGUGUCUCUGUGCACUCCGUCUCGGUGAGUGAGGGACCUUUUCCCCUUCCCUCCCCAGGCCCAUCCCAUUUCACUCUGUGGGUAU
rnacentral:lncRNA from 1 species